rnacentral:rRNA from 1 species
AACGAACGCUGGCGGCAGGCUUAACACAUGCAAGUCGAGCGCCCCGCAAGGGGAGCGGCAGACGGGUGAGUAACGCGUGGGAAUCUACCGAGCCCUAAGGAAUAGCUCCGGGAAACUGGAAUUAAUACCUUAUACGCCCUUCGGGGGAAAGAUUUAUCGGGGUUUGAUGAGCCCGCGGUGGAUUAGCUAGUUGGUGGGGUAAAGGCCUACCAAGGCGACGAUCCAUAGCUGGUCUGAGAGGAUGAUCAGCCACAUUGGGACUGAGACACGGCCCAAACUCCUACGGGAGGCAGCAGUGGGGAAUAUUGGACAAUGGGCGCAAGCCUGAUCCAGCCAUGCCGCGUGAGUGAUGAAGGCCCUAGGGUUGUAAAGCUCUUUCACCGGUGAAGAUAAUGACGGUAACCGGAGAGGAAGCCCCGGCUAGCUCCGUGCCAGCAGCCGCAGUAAGAC